GGAAGUGUGGCUCAGCAGUAUAGCACCUGCCUAGUAAACAUGAGGUUCUUAGUUCAAAUCUCAGUACCCCUA
rnacentral:tRNA from 1 species